CCUACGGGUGGCAGCAGUGAGGAAUAUUGGUCAAUGGGCGGAAGCCUGAACCAGCCAAGUAGCGUGCGGGAUGAAGGCCCUACGGGUCGUAAACCGCUUUUGCACGGGGAUAACACCCUCCACUUGUGGAGGUCUGCAGGUACCGUGCGAAUAAGGGCCGGCUAAUUCCGUGCCAGCAGCCGCGGUAAUACGGAAGGCCCGAGCGUUAUCCGGAUUCUUUGGGCUUAAAGGGAGCGUAGGCGGGCGUUAAAGUCAGCUGUAAAAUCGCGCGGCUCAACCGCGCCCCGAGGUUGAAAAUGGAGGCCUUGAGUACACAACAGGCAGGCGGAAUUCGUGGUGUAGCGGUGAAAUGCAUAGAGAUCACGAGGAACCCCGAUUGCGAAGGCAGCCUGCCGGGGUGCGACUGACGCUGAGGCUCGAAGGUGCGGGUAUCAAACAGGAUUAGAUACCCGAGUAGUC
rnacentral:rRNA from 1 species